rnacentral:rRNA from 1 species
CAGCAGCCGCGGUAACACCAGCAGCCCAAGUGGUGGUCGCGAUUAUUGGGCCUAAAGCGCUCGUAGCCGGGCCGGUAAGUCCCUUGUGAAAUCGGACGGCCUAACCGUUCGGCGUGCAAGGGAUACUGUCGGUCUUGAGGCCGGGAGACGUCCGAGGUACUCCGGGGGUAGCGGUGAAAUGUUCUGAUCCUCGGGGGACCACCGGUGGCGAAGGCGACUCUCUGGUCUGUAACUGACGCUGAGGAGCGAAAGCGUGGGGAGCGAACAGGAUUAGAGACCCCAGUAGUCCCUGUCUCUUAUU